UUGCGAGGUCUGCGACUUCAAAAUCCGACAUUGAAUGGGUUUUUACGUUUGGACUCUGCGGCUGUUCUUGGAGCUUAAAACCCUAACUAAAACCAUUGCUUGAACUUCGACAUUCCUAUCCCAAAAUGUCUAAAAUUUCCUCGACAUUUUUGCUCUAUUUCAUCCAAAAUCGGUUCAUCAAUACGGUUUCUGGUUCUACAUUGCCUCUAGCGUCUGUGUCUACGAUUGAAUUCCUCAAGAACUCUUGUGGGCUUGCUACGGAUUCUCCUUCUUCCGCCCUUCGAAAGCUCCAAUUCGAUGAAAAAAGCGCCAAGAAGUACGAAGCCGUUCUUGGUUUCUUGAAAUCAUAUGGAUUCGAGAAUUCGCAGAUCGCCAAGUUGAUCGCGAAGCGAUCUUCAAUCCUUCAAUCGAGAGUCUCCAGCAAUCUGAAGCCUAAAUUUGAGUUCCUCGAGGAAAUUGGGUUCGUCGGCCCUUUACUUCCAAAGGUAAUUUUAUCGAACCCCGCUAUUCUGCAGAGGGGCUUAGAUUCUCAUUUGAAACCAUCGUUUUGUUUCAUUAAGGAAAUGCUUGAAUCGGAUGAGCAGGCUAAUUUUGCUAUUCGUCGAUCUUCGUGGCUUCUAACUUCUAAUUUUAAGGGUGUUAUGCAAUCUAACGUUAAUGUGUUGCUCGGUGAAGGGGUACCUUCUAGGAAUAUAUCGAAAUUGAUUGCGCAGCAACCAAGAACUAUUAUGCAAAAGGUUGAUAGAAUGGUUUGUGCAGUGAAGAAGGUCAAGGAAUUGGGCAUUGAACCACAGACUCGUAUGUUUGUUCGUGCGCUUCGUGUAGUGUUGUCCAUGAAUGACACAACUUGGAAGAAGAAAAUAAAUGUUUUGAAGAGUUUGGGAUGGUCUGAGAAGGAGAUUUUAACAGCAUUUAAGAGAGACCCAUAUUGUUUAGCUUGUUCAGAGGAGAAAAUGAGGGCUGUUGCAGAUUUCUGUUUCAACGCUGCAAAAUUGGACCCAGAAACUGUAAUUUCUUACCCCACGUUCUUCAUGUCUGGACUGGACAAGCGUCUCCGGCCAAGGUUCAAAGUUGUUGAGGUUUUGAAGGUAAAAAAACUGAUUGAGAACAGAAAGAUUGCUCGGUUGCUUGUUGUAGGGGAAAGAAUUUUUGUGAAGAAUUAUGUUCUUAAGCAUUUGGAUGAAGUCCCAGAUCUUAUGGAGAUAUACAGGGGCAAUGCCACAGCCGAAGCCAGACCUGUUCUAUAGGAUUGGAAGGAGUUACAGUCAAGUUUCAUUUUUGAAAUGAUGAAAUCUAUGCAUAUCUCCACACACUCGUAGGUUCUUUCGAACGUGUAUCGUAGUAUCAGGACUGGUAUUUAAAAGACCAAAAGUAAUGGCGAGCUUCUCGCUAUGGCUAUUGAGGAGCUGCUCCUGCACAUCGUCUUCUACAUCUUGAAUCGAGCUUCCUUGAUCUUAUCAACUCGAUCGAGAAGGUCGACCAUGGCACUGUAGUGAUCCAUCAAAGGCUUUAAUCCAUUUUCUUGAAAUAGUAGAGCCCCUCACACCAUACCGAGUGACUGCGGCAUCACA